rnacentral:rRNA from 1 species
GGCUCAGAGCGAACGCUAGCGGCGGGCUUAACACAUGCAAGUCGAGCGGACUUUUUCGGAAGUCAGCGGCGAACGGGUGAGUAACACGUAGGUAACGUACCCUCUGGUGGGGAAUAACUCAGGGAAACUUGAGCUAAUACCGCAUGUGCCCUUCGGGGUGAAAGACUUCGGUUGCCAGAGGAUCGGCCUGCGGCCCAUUAUUUAAUCCUAGUUGGUAGGGUAACGGCCUACCAAGGGUACGAUGGGUAGCUGGUCUGAGAGGAUGAUCAGCCACACUGGGACUGAGACACGGCCCAGACUCCUACGGGAGGCAGCAGUGGGGAAUAUUGGACAAUGGGCGAAAGCCUGAUCCAGCCACGCCGCGUGAGUGAUGAAGGCCUUCGGGUUGUAAAGCUCUGUCGGGAGGGACGAAGUUCUGACGGUACCUCCCAAGAAAGCGCCGGCUAACUCCGUG